rnacentral:rRNA from 1 species
GAUGAACGCUGGCGGCGUGCCUAAUACAUGCAAGUCGAGCGAACGGACGAGAAGCUUGCUUCUCUGAUGUUAGCGGCGGGCGGGUGAGUAACACGUGGAUAACCUACCUAUAAGACUGGGAUAACUUCGGGAAACCGGAGCUAAUACCGGAUAAUAUUUUGAACCGCAUGGUUCAAAAGUGAAAGACGGUCUUGCUGUCACUUAUAGAUGGAUCCGCGCUGCAUUAGCUAGUUGGUAAGGUAACGGCUUACCAAGGCAACGAUGCAUAGCCGACCUGAGAGGGUGAUCGGCCACACUGGACCUGAGACACGGUCCAGACUCCUACGGGCGGCAGCAGUAGGGAAUCUUCCGCAAUGGGCGAAAGCCUGACGGAGCAACGCCGCGUGAGUGCUGAAGGUCUUCGGAUCGUAAAACUCUGUUAUUAGGGAAGAACAUAUGUGUAAGUAACUGUGCACAUCUUGACGGUACCUAAUCAGAAAGCCACGGCUAACUACGUG